GAGUGAACGCUGGCGUUCGGCCUAACCCAUGCACGUCGAACGGCAGCCCAGUAAGAGCUUGCUCUUACGGGUGGCGAGUGGCGGACGGGUGAGGAAUACAUCGGAAUCUACUUUUUCGUGGGGGAUAACGUAGGGAAACUUACGCUAAUACCGCAUACGACCUACGGGUGAAAGCAGGGGAUCUUCGGACCUUGCGCGAUUGAAUGAGCCGAUGUCGGAUUAGCUAGUUGGCGGGGUAAAGGCCCACCAAGGCGACGAUCCGUAGCUGGUCUGAGAGGAUGAUCAGCCACACUGGAACUGAGACACGGUCCAGACUCCUACGGGAGGCAGCAGUGGGGAAUAUUGGACAAUGGGCGCAAGCCUGAUCCAGCCAUACCGCGUGGGUGAAGAAGGCCUUCGGGUCGUAAAGCCCUUUUGUUGGGAAAGAAAAGCAGCAGGUUAAUACCCCGCUGUUCUGACGGUACCCAAAGAAUAAGCACCGGCUAACUUCGUG
rnacentral:rRNA from 1 species